ACCACACUCUGUGCCUUUGAGUGUGCUUUCCUGAAUAAAUUUGUGAUUGUGCCUUUUCUAAUGUAUCCUGAAUUUUUUUUCUGCAAAGUAUGUCAAGAGCCUGCAGGGACCAAGUUGAGGUCUCCUCUCUUCUGGACAAACUUCUCAGACUUCUAUUUGGUGACAAGAGGGAACACCGGUUUCCCAAGAAAAGCAGGUAGUGUUUCCAGGCCUCAGAUAUCUGAGUUUGGACAGCAAUUCUCAAGUUCCAGGAGGUCAUUACCAGAUUUGAAGAGGACAGUGUGGGCAUGGGAACUUCUAAAAAGGACACGUGCUAUCACUGUGCAUUGAGGAAAGAGAAACCCAUGGACUGUGGACUGACUACACUUUCCACACCGGAGCACAGCGGUUGAGUGUGAGCCCCCUGGGUGACCAACUCUCCUGCCUACUGUCCUCACCUCUUCAAAACAUGGUGAAGAGACAGGUUUUUGGGAAUAGCUGGAAGCUGCGAGGUAUUUCUGUGUACAUGGAAGAGAGCAUGACUGGUGACACUGGCUCUCGAUGAACAUGGAGAUGCUAUUUAGAGAUUUGGAUGCUGAUCACAGAGAGGUGAGCAGUGAGAGGCUGAGGGCUCAGAACCUGAG